rnacentral:rRNA from 1 species
UACGUAGGUGGCGAGCGUUGUCCGGAAUUACUGGGUGUAAAGGGCGUGUAGGCGGGAAUGCAAGUCAGAUGUGAAAGCCCAUGGCUCAACUGUGGGACUGCAUCUGAAACUGUGUUUCUUGAGUGCUGGAGAGGAAAGCGGAAUUCCAAGUGUAGCGGUGAAAUGCGUAGAUAUUUGGAGGAACACCAGUGGCGAAGGCGGCUUUCUGGACAGUAACUGACGCUGAGGCGCGAAAGCGUGGGGAGCAAACAGG